AUAAGCGGAGGAAAAGAAACCAACAGGGAUUGCCUCAGUAACGGCGAGUGAAGCGGCAACAGCUCAAAUUUGAAAUCUCAGGUAUUCUACUUGCGAGUUGUAAUUUGAAGAGGAUGUUUCGGUUGUGACCUAGGCCUAAGUUCCUUGGAACAGGACGUCGUAGAGGGUGAGAAUCCCGUACACGGCUGUAGGUUUACUUCCAUGUGUAACUCCUUCGAAGAGUCGAGUUGUUUGGGAAUGCAGCUCAAAAUGGGUGGUAAAUUUCAUCUAAAGCUAAAUACUGGCGAGAGACCGAUAGCGCACAAGUAGAGUGAUCGAAAGAUGAAAAGCACUUUGAAAAGAGAGUUAAACAGUACGUGAAAUUGUUGAAAGGGAAGCGUUUGCAAUCAGACUUGCUUUCGGUUGAUCAACGUUCCUUUUGGUUCGUGCACUCUGCCGUUCGCAGGCCAGCAUCGGUUAGGACAGUGGGACAAAGACUCAAGGAAUGUGGCUCUCUUCGGGGAGUGUUAUAGCCUUGUGUGUAAUGCCACUUGACCUGACCGAGGUCCGCGCUUUUGCUAGGAUGCUGGCGUAAUGGUUGUAAACGACCCGUCUUGAAACACGGACCAAGGAGUCUAACAUCUAUGCGAGUGUUUGGGUGUCAAACCCAUACGCGUAAUGAAAGUGAACGGAGGUGGGAGUCUUCGGAUGCACCAUCGACCGAUCCUGAUGUCUUCGGAUGGAUUUGAGUAGGAGCAUAGCUGUUGGGACCCGAAAGAUGGUGAACUAUGCCUGAAUAGGGUGAAGCCAGAGGAAACUCUGGUGGAGGCUCGC
rnacentral:rRNA from 1 species